rnacentral:lncRNA from 1 species
UAAAUACGGUAGCGACUAGCAACAAGUAUACUCCACCCCCGUCUCAAAUCAGUCAAUUUUGGAAAUAAAAAGUCUCUUCCUUAUUCUUUUCUUGUUCUUUGCUACUCACUUUCCUUUGUUACAGCGAAAAAGCAGGAAACUACACUACGCAGUAGCUCCUUGCAGCUGAAGCAAUUAACAAUGCAGUCCGACGGCGCCGUGGGAGGUUUCCGGCUCCGGUGGGACGUGUUCCUAAGCUUUAGAGGAGAGACACCCGCCACACCAUCACCAACAACCUCUACAACGCGCUCGAACAACGCGGCGUACGAGUCUUCCGCGACGACGACGGCCUCAACCGCGGCGACGACAUCGCGCCGAGUCUUCUGGAAGCGAUCGAGGACUCGGCGGCGGCCGUCGUCGUGUUGUCGCCGAGAUACGCCGACUCGAGGUGGUGCCUUGAGGAGCUCGCGAAGAUCUGCGACGGCGGCCGGAGACUGAUCCUGCCGGUGUUUUACCAAGUGGACCCCUCCCACGUCCGGCGACAGAGCGGACCG